AGCAGUCGCCGCGGUAAUACGGAGGAUCCAAGCGUUAUCCGGAAUCAUUGGGUUCAAAGGGUCCGUAGGCGGUCUUGUAAGUCAGUGGUGAAAGCCCAUCGCUCAACGGUGGAACGGCCAUUGAUACUGCAGGACUUGAAUUAUUGGGAAGUAACUAGAAUAUGUAGUGUAGCGGUGAAAUGCUUAGAGAUUACAUGGAAUACCAAUUGCGAAGGCAGGUUACUACCAAUUGAUUGACGCUGAUGGACGAAAGCGUGGGUAGCGAACAGGAUUAGAUACCCGGGUCCCUGUCUCUUAUACACA
rnacentral:rRNA from 1 species